rnacentral:rRNA from 1 species
AAGGGUGACUGCGUACCUUUUGUAUAAUGGGUCAGCGACUUAUAUUUUGUAGCGAGGUUAACCGAAUAGGGGAGCCGAAGGGAAACCGAGUCUUAACUGGGCGUCUAGUUGCAAGGUAUAGACCCGAAACCCGGUGAUCUAGCCAUGGGCAGGUUGAAGGUUGGGUAACACUAACUGGAGGACCGAACCGACUAAUGUUGAAAAAUUAGCGGAUGACUUGUGGCUGGGGGUGAAAGGCCAAUCAAACCGGGAGAUAGCUGGUUCUCCCCGAAAUCUAUUUAGGUAGAGCCUUGAGCGGACACCUUCGGGGGUAGAGCACUGUUUCGGCUAGGGGUCCAUCCCGGAUUACCAACCCGAUGCAAACUACGAAUACCGAAGAGUGAUACUCAGGAGACACACGGCGGGUGCUAACGUCCGUCGUGGAGAGGGAAACAACCCAGACCGCCAGCUAAGGUCCCAAAGUCUAUAUUAAGUGGGAAACGAAGUGGGAAGGCUUAGACAGCUAGGAUGUUGGCUUAGAAGCAGCCAUCAUUUAAAGAAAGCGUAAUAGCUCACUAGUCGAGUCGGCCUGCGCGGAAGAUGUAACGGGGCUCAAAUAUAGCACCGAAGCUGCGGCAUCAGACGAAAGUCUGUUGGGUAGGGGAGCGUUGUGUAAGCGGAUGAAGGUGUGUUGAGAAGCAUGCUGGACGUAUCACAAGUGCGAAUGCUGACAUAAGUAACGAUAAAACGGGUGAAAAACCCGUUCGCCGGAAGACCAAGGGUUCCUGUCCAACGUUAAUCGGGGCAGGGUGAGUCGGCCCCUAAGGCGAGGCUGAAAAGCGUAGUCGAUGGGAAACGGGUUAAUAUUCCCGUACUUGGUAAAGCUGCGAUGUGGGGACGGAGCAGGUUAGGUUAGCGUGCUGUUGGAUAUGCACGUUUAAGUUGGUAGGUGGGGAGUUUAGGCAAAUCCGGACUUCCUUAACACUGAGAGAUGAUGACGAGGCUCUACGGAGCUGAAGUAACCGAUACCACACUUCCAGGAAAAGCCACUAAGCGAAAGGCUUUACUAAACCGUACUGAAAACCGACACAGGUGGUCAGGUAGAGAAUACUCAGGCGCUUGAGAGAACUCGGGUGAAGGAACUAGGCAAAAUAGCACCGUAACUUCGGGAGAAGGUGCGCCGGCGUAGAUUGUAGUCCCUCGCGGGCGAAGGUUGAACCGGUCGAAGAUACCAGCUGGCUGCAACUGUUUAUUAAAAACACAGCACUCUGCAAACACGAAAGUGGACGUAUAGGGUGUGAUGCCUGCCCGGUGCUGGAAGGUUAAUUGAUGGUGUAAUCGAAAGAGAAGCUCCUGAUCGAAGCCCCAGUAAACGGCGGCCGUAACUAUAACGGUCCUAAGGUAGCGAAAUUCCUUGUCGGGUAAGUUCCGACCUGCACGAAUGGCAUAAUGAUGGCCAGGCUGUCUCCACCCGAGACUCAGUGAAAUUGAAAUCGCCGUGAAGAUGCGGUGUACCCGCGGCUAGACGGAAAGACCCCGUGAACCUUUACUAUAGCUUGACACUGAACAUUGAAUUUUGAUGUGUAGGAUAGGUGGGAGACUAUGAAGAUGAUACGCCAGUAUUGUUGGAGUCGUCCUUGAAAUACCACCCUUUAACGUUUGAUGUUCUAACGAAGAUUACGAAACGUGGUCUCGGACAGUGUCUGGUGGGUAGUUUGACUGGGGCGGUCUCCUCCCAAAGAGUAACGGAGGAGCACGAAGGUUUGCUAAUCACGGUCGGACAUCGUGAGGUUAGUGCAAUGGUAUAAGCAAGCUUAACUGCGAGACAGACAAGUCGAGCAGGUACGAAAGUAGGUCAUAGUGAUCCGGUGGUUCUGCAUGGAAGGGCCAUCGCUCAACGGAUAAAAGGUACUCCGGGGAUAACAGGCUGAUACCGCCCAAGAGUUCAUAUCGACGGCGGUGUUUGGCACCUCGAUGUCGGCUCAUCACAUCCUGGGGCUGAAGUAGGUCCCAAGGGUAUGGCUGUUCGCCAUUUAAAGUGGUACGCGAGCUGGGUUUAGAACGUCGUGAGACAGUUCGGUCCCUAUCUGCCGUGGGCGUUGGAGAAUUGAUUGGGGCUGCUCCUAGUACGAGAGGACCGGAGUGGACGCACCACUGGUGUUCCGGUUGUGUCGCCAGACGCAUUGCCGGGUAGCUAAGUGCGGAAGAGAUAAGUGCUGAAAGCAUCUAAGCACGAAACUUGCCAAGAGAUGAGUUCUCCCAGAUUAUAAAUCUGUAAGGGUUGUUUAAGACUAAGACGUAGAUAGGUGCGGUGUGUAAGUGUAGUGAUACAUUGAGCUAACGCAUACUAAUUGCCCGAGAGGCUUAACUAU